ensembl:misc_RNA 7SK 7SK RNA
GACUAUGAGGGCAACCUGGCUGUGACAUCUGUCACUCCAUUAAUCUCCAGGGUUAAUUCAGCUGGCUAAUUUAGCCGAGUAAACUGGUUGGCUAGGCAGUUGUUCCCUUCUUCCCUCACUGCCCCAUGUGUGUCCCUCCCAGAGCUGCAUGCUUGGUGGAAGAGAACAACAUUCCCUGAUACAGUAGAACUUUUUUUGGUCAAGAGUAUAUUUGUAGCUAUAGUCCCCAGCUAGAACAUCCUCUAAGCAAGCUCUUAAGGUCCAUUUGUAGGAGAACAUAGGGUACUCAAACUCAUGACUCCAGAGACAUCCAAGAGAAGUGGAUGUGGACAGUCUGCACUA